CGGAUUGAAGGCUGAAAUUCGCCUUCAUGAAGCUGGAAUUGCUAGUAAUGGCAGGUCAGCAUACUGCCGUGAAUACGUUCCCGGGCCUUGUACACACCGCCCGUCACACCAUGAGAGUUGGGAAUACCCGAAGCCUGUGAGCUAACUUAUAGAGGCAGCAGUCGAAGGUAGAAUCAAUGAUUGGGGUGAAGUCGUAACAAGGUACC
rnacentral:rRNA from 1 species